AGUGAACGCUGGCGGUAGGCCUAACACAUGCAAGUCGAACGGCAGCACAGUAAGAGCUUGCUCUUACGGGUGGCGAGUGGCGGACGGGUGAGGAAUACAUCGGAAUCUACUUUUUCGUGGGGGAUAACGUAGGGAAACUUACGAUAAUACCGCAUACGCCCUACGGGUGAAAGCAGGGGAUCUUCGGACCUUGUGCGGAUGGAUGAGCCGAUGUCGGAUUAGCUAGUUGGCGGGGUAAAGGCCCACCAAGGGGCCGAUCCGUAGCUGGUCUGAGAGGAUGGUCGCCGGCACUGGAGCUGGAACACGGUCCAGACGCCUGAGGUAGGCAGCAGAGUGGAAUAUGGGGCAAUAGGCGCAAACCUGAUCCAGCGGUACCACGUGGGUGGAAAAGGCGUUCGGGUUGGAAAGCCCUUUUGUUGGGAAAGAAAAGCAGCAGGUUGAGACCCCGCGGUUCUGACGGUACCCAAAGAAGAAGCACCGGCUAACUUCGUG
rnacentral:rRNA from 1 species